rnacentral:rRNA from 1 species
UCCAGACUCCUACGGGAGGCAGCAGUGGGGAAUAUUGCACAAUGGGGGAAACCCUGAUGCGGCGACGCCGCGUGAGUGAAGAAGUAUUUCGGUAUGUAAAGCUCUAUCAGCAGGGAAGAAAAUGACGGUACCUGACUAAGAAGCCCCGGCUAACUACGUGCCAGCAGCCGCGGUAAUACGUAGGGGCAAGCGUUAUCCGGAUUUACUGGGUGUAAAGGGAGCGUAGACGGCAUGGCAAGUCAGAUGUGAAAGCCCGGGGCUCAACCCCGGGACUGCUCUUGGAACUGCGUGGCUGGAGUGCAGGAGGGGCAGGCGGAAUUCCUGGUGUAGCGGUGAAAUGCGUAGAUAUCAGGAGGAACACCGGUGGCGAAGGCGGCCUGCUGGACUGCAACUGACGUUGAGGCCCGAAAGCGUGGGGAGCAAACAGGAUUAGAUACCCGCGUAU